UACGUAGGGGGCAAGCGUUGUCCGGAUUCAUUGGGCGUAAAGAGCGUGUAGGCGGCCAGGUAGGUCGGUUGUGAAAACUGGAGGCUCAACCUUCAGAGGUCGACCGAAACCAUCUGGCUAGAGUCCGGGAGAGGAGAGUGGAAUUCCUGGUGUAGCGGUGAAAUGCGCAGAUAUCAGGAAGAACACCCGUGGCGAAAGCGGCUCUCUGGAACGGUACUGGACGCUGAGACGCGAAAGCGUGGGGAGCGAAACAGG
rnacentral:rRNA from 1 species